CUGAUGCAGGGUUCUCUGCAGCCCUGAGGUGGCUGCACCAUCUAGGAGAAGGCUUCCAGGAAGAGGUCUCUGUACCCCUCCACCUGUGCUGUUGCCCAGUCAUCUCAGGAUCAGUAUCUCCCAGCAUGAACUACAGACAGGAGAGUGGCUGCAGUGUUUUAUAUUCCCACUACAGUGAAUGAGAGUUCCUGUUGCUCCAUACCCUGGCCAGCAUUUGGUGUUGUCAAUAUUUUGGAUUUCAGUGUUCCAAUGGUGGUCUGAAGUUGAGCUAGGAGGAUCUUCAAGGAAGAAGCUAAUCAUGAAGCCAAAUGAGAACCUGACUUAAUGAUUGUUGGGGAGAAUAUUCAAGUGUGAACCUGCACCAAGGGCUGUCUUGCCCUCUCACAUCAACGUCUUUGUCAGACAGUUGACUAACAAGUGGAACUAUAAAAAUACCACAAAAGAUUUAGAAAUGAGAAUGUAACAGGAUGUUAGCGGUCAUUUGAAAUCACCCACAAAGCCACUGCAAUGAAGCCAAGUAUGUUUUCGUGUCUCAGCAUAACCGUCUGGUAAAUCUCUGCCUCACGAAACCAAGAUCUUUCAUCUCUGGAGGAGAAUAUCUUUACAGCCACAUCUUCCCCACACCAUCUUCCAUGCCAGACCUCACCAAAUCUACCUUUUCCUACUAUCUCCUGAAGCACAAUCGUCCUUGCAAUUGUUCUUUGAACCAACAGAGGUAGACCUAACCAAAGAAAAGAUGGAAUUGAUUAAAAACAGGCAAGUGUCAGAAAAGAACUGUCAUGAUGACCAUUGUUUUCUCAUAAAAAGGCAAACAUUUAAGCGCUUUCAUAAUCUUACCAAUUUUGAAGAACUAAGCACCAUUAUACCAAACUUUAAUGUCAAACCAUGCUCAAAAAAACCCUCCGAAUUCUAAAUAUGAAUUUCUCUUCUCACAUUCCCAAAUAAAGAUUUC